GGCAACGUAGCAAAGUGGUUAAUGCGAUUGACUCGAAUUUCUGAAACAGAAAUUAAGUAAUCAAUUCCCUUCGGGGGCGUAGGUUCGAAUCCUGCCGUUGUCG